UACAGAGGGUGCGAGCGUUGCUCGGAAUUAUUGGGCGUAAAGCGCUUGUAGGCGGCUUGUUAAGUUCCGUGUGAAAUCCCCAGGCUUAACCUGGGAAGUGCGCGGAAAACUGGCGAGCUUGAGUGCCGGAGAGGGUCGCGGAAUUCCCGGUGUAGAGGUGAAAUUCGUAGAUAUCGGCAAGAACACCAGUGGCGAAGGCGGCUCGACCUGGCCGGUAGCGUACGCUGAGUGCGAAAGCGUGGGGAGCAAACAGG
rnacentral:rRNA from 1 species